rnacentral:rRNA from 1 species
UACCAGCACCCCGAGUGGUCGGGACGAUUAUUGGGCCUAAAGCAUCCGUAGCCGGUCCUGCAAGUCCUCCGUUAAAUCCACCCGCUCAACGGUUGGGCCGCGGGGGAUACUACAGGGCUAGGAGGCGGGAGAGGCAAGCGGUACUCGAUGGGUAGGGGUAAAAUCCACUGAUCCAUGGAAGACCACCAGUGGCGAAGGCGGCUUGCCAGAACGCGCUCGACGGUGAGGGAUGAAAGCUGGGGGAGCGAACAGG